UCGAGUCGGCCUGCGCGGAAGAUGUAACGGGGCUAAACCAUGCACCGAAGCUGCGGCAGCGACGCUGAUGCGUUGUUGGGUAGGGGAGCGUUCUGUAAGCCUGUGAAGGUGGCCUGUGAGGGUUGCUGGAGGUAUCAGAAGUGCGAAUGCUGACAUAAGUAACGAUAAAGCGGGUGAAAAGCCCGCUCGCCGGAAGACCAAGGGUUCCUGUCCAACGUUAAUCGGGGCAGGGUGAGUCGACCCCUAAGGCGAGGCCGAAAGGCGUAGUCGAUGGGAAACGGGUUAAUAUUCCCGUACUUGGUGUUACUGCGAAGGGGGGACGGAGAAGGCUAUGUUGGCCGGGCGACGGUUGUCCCGGUUUAAGCGUGUAGGUGUGUGUUCCAGGUAAAUCCGGUUCACUUUAACACUGAGGCGUGAUGACGAGGCACUACGGUGCUGAAGCAACAAAUGCCCUGCUUCCAGGAAAAGCCUCUAAGCAUCAGGUAACAUCAAAUCGUACCCCAAACCGACACAGGUGGUCAGGUAGAGAAUACCAAGGCGCUUGAGAGAACUCGGGUGAAGGAACUAGGCAAAAUGGUGCCGUAACUUCGGGAGAAGGCACGCUGACAC
rnacentral:rRNA from 1 species